rnacentral:rRNA from 1 species
UACGUAGGGGGCAAGCGUUGUCCGGAUUUAUUGGGCGUAAAGAGCGUGUAGGCGGCCAUACAGGUCAGCUGUGAAAACUCGAGGCUCAACCUCGAGACGUCGGUUGAAACCGUAUGGCUAGAGUCCGGAAGAGGAGAGUGGAAUUCCCGGUGUAGCGGUGAAAUGCGCAGAUAUCGGGAAGAACACCCGUGGCGAAGGCGGCUCUCUGGGACGGUACUGACGCUGAGGCGCGAAAGCGUGGGGAGCGAACAGG